rnacentral:rRNA from 1 species
AACGAACGCUGGCGGCAGGCCUAACACAUGCAAGUCGAACGCCCCUUCGGGGGAGUGGCAGACGGGUGAGUAACGCGUGGGAACCUUCCCUGUGGUACGGAAUAACUCAGAGAAAUUUGAGCUAAUACCGUAUACGCCCUUCGGGGGAAAGAUUUAUCGCCAUAGGAUGGGCCCGCGUCGGAUUAGCUUGUUGGUGAGGUAAUGGCUCACCAAGGCGACGAUCCGUAGCUGGUCUUAGUGGAUGAUCAGCCACACUGGGACUGAGACACGGCCCAGACUCCUACGGGAGGCAGCAGUGGGGAAUAUUGGACAAUGGGCGCAAGCCUGAUCCAGCCAUGCCGCGUGAGUGACGAAGGCCUUAGGGUUGUAAAGCUCUUUUGGCGGGGACGAUAAUGACGGUACCCGCAGAAUAAGCCCCGGCUAACUUCGUG